rnacentral:lncRNA from 1 species
CGCGGUGGCGCGAGGCGAGGGCGUAGCUCAGCAGUACCCUGAGGCAGUCUAGCUUAGGGGACUAGAAGGCAAGGAAUCAAAGUGUAUCAACUUGUAAACUAAAUGUUGUAAUAAUGUGAUUGUAAUUUGGAAGUAAAAUGUAAAUUGAAACUGAGAUGUACUAAGUGAUGAAAUGAAUGCUUGUAAUAACAGUAGUUUAUGUAUUUGAUACU